rnacentral:ncRNA from 1 species
AUUAAUUCGUUGAAGUAGAUAAGUAGCUCGCAAACAGAGAGGAACAGAUGGUGAGACUGUUCAUGCAAUAGUGAAGACACUACGGAGAAGGAUAAUGCAAAGUUAUCCCGUUUAGCGCGUUAAGUUAUUUAAGGCAAUGGUUACAUUGCAAAAUUAGGUGGUACCACGUUCAAUCGUCCUAUGC